UUCAGGAUGAGUCACAGGUAGGAGGAAAGUCCUGGGGUCACGCUGACAGUCGCGUCCCUGACGAAGGGUUCCGUCCGCUCGCCGUCGCUGCGGGUUUCUGCGUACUCGGAGGCUUUUCUCCUUUUUACCCUGAACUCCUGUUUCCUGAGUUUAUGUUUCUGGUGAAAUGCUGGGACGUGGUAGGCAGCUGGUAAAGGGUGGUGUGGCCCAGGGACAUCCUGCAGCUCGUCAGUGCUCCUGACUGCCGUGGGGACAUCUUGCCCAUGCUGCGUGACAGGGACCACCGGGGACGCUGAGAACAGGCAGCCUGGUUCGCGUGGCCGUGUGAGCGGUGACGUUCGCGGAGGAGGAUCUAUGGCGUCUGCCCGCGGCUGCCUGUGGGGACUUCUCCCACCUGGAGUCCUCCUCCACCGUCGCUGUCAGGGCCCCUGUCUUUGGGAACCGGAUGCCCUUUCACCCACAGCCGUGCAGGUCCAGCUCGUUGACCGCAGGGGUGACUGCCGUGUGCCCGCUCUCUGCUCCGAGGGACAAGCCGCUCCAGCCUCACCCCCGCACCUCUGCUCAGUCUCACUUCCUUAGCAGCAGCGUCGGCGCCCAGGGCGUCCCCUGCAAGGUUUUGGCAGACCCUACAUUGCCGUGGGAACUUGCAGGUGCCCUGGGGGGAGGGGCAUUCUGCCACCAAGCCUCCAUCUCAGAAGCUUCAGCAAAAAUGAUAUUUUUUUUGUAGUUUAAGAACGCGCUGCUGUACGUAGCCUGAAACCACGCACUUGUUGCUAGUUUGUAGGGAAAGCCGAGGCCAGCAGUGAGCAGCGCCUGUGGCUGCAGGUCCCGGAAAACCUGAGCUGGCUCAGAAGGGCCCAGUGCCCGGUGCCUGCUGUGAGUGACCAGACGGGCAACGAGAAGGCCAGAGUGAGCGUUUGGUGUCGCUGGUUCAGGUGUCACUUGUGAUACCCGCAUCUCAUUUUGGAGCGCUUGGGUCCGAGUCCCUAACUCGCUCUCCACUCUGGCUGCCUGCUAACGGGAGGCAGCAGGGGGCGGCUUAAGAAGCUGGGCUCCUGCCGUCUAUGUGGAGACCUAGGGUGGGUUCUCUGCCCCUGACUUCAGCCUGGCCUAGCUCUAGCCAUUGUGGGCACCUAGGGAAUAACCUGUGAAAGGCAUGUCUGUUUCUUUGUCUUUAAAUAAAAAAAAGUCUAAAGGCAAAAGAGCAAGUUCUUAUGGCCCUGUGACUUUUUGCUGGCUGUUGGGCAUCAGCAGCAAUCAUUGUAGUUUCCCUUUAGCGUGGCUGUCGUGUAAUCUGGAAAAGCGAACUUUAAAUCAAAGGUGACCGCUUGAUCUCCGCGUGCACGGACUCUGUAUGCUUUACAUGGAAGCCAGAGGCAAGCCAGCAGGUGUGUGUUGAGGGAUCCGUGUGUGGGACCCCAGGGACCCUGGGGACACAGCGGCGAGCCGCGGCCCAGCCCUGGGGGACAGGGGCCCUCCGGGAAGCGACAUUUCUCAGCGGUCAGCUCUGUGACAUCAUCACCCCUGUGACAUGUCUAACAAAACCGUGUGCAAUCGACUCUCUUCUCAGCUGUGGAACCUUGUGUCACAAAGAGAACCGCCGGGCGCAGAGCUUGUGAAAGGAGAAGGCCCUGACCGUUUAACAGUCAGGGUCAGGAGCAGGGAGCCAGGAUAAAGCCGUGCUCCACGGUCGGAAGAUUGCGGAGGGAGCCGGGCGGCCCUCACUGGACCCCUCCCCAGCCUCGACGAGAGGUUCGACCCCGGUGACACCAGUACCCUGGAGGAACUGCCCAGUGUCCCAGUGCUGUGGCAGGAGCUGCCCCAGGUGGGAUUGCUGUCUGACAACACAUUAUGUAUAUUAUAGCACUUCACACCUCCCUACUCACAACAGCAACAACAAUAAUUGCAUUAAGCGUUUGCGCAGCUUGUGCUUAUGUCUUCCAAACAUUCAGUUGUUUCCGUUGAAACUCACAGCAGUGACGUCACAGCAGUGAAAGAGAGCCUCCUCUGAGCCGGUCCCCAUAGAGCACUUUAUCAACAAGGAUCUGUUCCAUCCUCCUGGCGACCCGGUGAGCCAGAGAUAUUCGCCCCCACUUUACGGAUGCGCAGAUGGAGACACGAGAGGUUAAUGAGUUGUCCAAGAUCACACAACUGCCGCCGUGGCAGAGAUUCCCUUGCUGUCUUUAUCCCAAGCUCCUGAUCAUCGCCGUGGCACUCUGAAGAAUCAGCUGGCAGAUCACUGGGCGCCUGGGAGAUCACGGAUCCCCUAGCAGGUCACGGGGCGCCUGGGAGAUCACGGAUCCCCUAGCAGGUCACGGGGCGCCUGGGAGAUCACGGAUCCCCUAGCAGGUCACGGGGCGCCUGGGAGAUCACGGAUCCCCUAGCAGGUCACGGGGCACCUGGGAGAUCACGGCCCAGGGUCGCUGGCUCAGUAGGAGACUGUAGGCACUGGGGCCGAACGGGGGCCAUGCAGGGGCUGUCAGGCAGCUUACCUGGUGGGCUCCAGGAUGUGUAGGGGUCCCCUGGUGGAAACCAGGGCUGUGCAGGGGGCCUCAGGCAGGCCCUGGUCCCCAAGGACUUGGCAAUGGGGAUUAGAGGUGGGGUUUUCCCCUCUGGCCUCAUGUUCUCCAGUAGCAGAAGAAGGAGCGUGAAGUGCCAUUGGGCAAUCCUGGGACUUUUGUUCUUUAAAACAUAUAGUUAAAGAUCGCUAUGAAUGUCCUUUGCUGUUUAAACCCUCUCCAUGGCCCACGAGUGGACUAUCACGUGGGUGGCAGUGAGUGGUGACGCAGGACUAUGGAGCAGGUGCAUAGGACUGUGGGGGCAGGUCUGCCUGUACAGCUGGGGCCGUCUUGUCUGCUGAGACCCCUCUGUGGGCACAGAUGUUGCCGACCUGCAUCUCCAGGGUGUGUGGCCAGCACCACUCUCGCUGCAUCAUUUAUGGACAGCUCUGGUUCCAGGGCACACGACGGCCUGCCUGUCUCCUAGCCAAAGCCUCAGCUGUCUGGAGCGUUUAUGACAACUGAAUCGCUACGAGCAAGCUGGCUUGUGAUAGCUCCUCUUGCUUACCUAACGCUCCCUUUGUUUAACGUCAGCGCCAGCUUGCUCGUUGCCUUGGAAGCUGUGGGCCCUGCUCAAGUGCAGACAGCAACACAUGAAUGUUCUCUGUCCCGGGGCCAUGACCAGGAGGCCACGGCUGCUUACCUGUGGGGGAGGUGGUGAGCACUUUGCACGAUUACUCCCUUCACGCCUCCAGUAACACUUGGAGGAGCACAGCGUCAGCUUUGUGUCCACAGACGGGGAAACCGAGGCAGCAUGCUGGCAAAAUGAGAAUGCUCAUGCACUUGGCACAUCUGGUUCUAGAGUAACCUCUGGUUCUGGAGUGACCUCUGAUUCUGGAGUGACCUCUGGUUCUGGAAUAACAUCUGGUUCUAGAGUAACAUCUGGUUCUAGAGUAAUCUCUGGUUCUGGAGUAACUUCUGGUUUUGGAGUAACCUCUGGUUCUGGAGUGACCUCUGGUUCUGGAGUAACCUCUGGUCCUGGAGUGACCUCUGGUCCUAGAGUAACCUCUGGUUCUGGAGUGACCUCUGGUUCUGGAGUAACCUCUGGUUCUGGUGUGACCUCUGGUUCUGGAGUGACCUCUGGUUCUGGAGUGACCUCUGGUUUUGGAGUGACCUCUGGUUCUGGAGUGACCUCUGGUUCUGGAGUGACCUCUGGUUCUAGAGUAACAUCUGGUUCUAGAGUAAUCUCUGGUUCUGGAGUAACUUCUGGUUUUGGAAUAACCUCUGGUCCUGGAGUGACCU